rnacentral:rRNA from 16 species
CGGCUAGGGGGUCAUCCCGACUUACCAACCCGAUGCAAACUCCGAAUACCUGUGAGUACUAUCCGGGAGACACACGGCGGGUGCUAACGUCCGUCGUGAAGAGGGAAACAACCCUGACCUACAGCUAAGGCCCCUAAUUCAUGGCUAAGUGGGAAAGCAGGUGGGACGACCAAAACAACCAGGAGGUUGGCUUAGAAG